rnacentral:hammerhead_ribozyme from 1 species
AUCCAGCUGACCAGUCCCAAAUAGUACGGAACGCGCGUCCUGGAU